GCUUUGGAUUCCACCUGUGAUUAUUAUUUUUUUUGAUUAAUGAGUGGGACUGUCUCUGUUCCUAGUGAGGACUGGACAUUUGAAGGGAUACAAAGCUGCCAGUCAGUGCUGACAGUUGCUUCACAGAGACACACCACAAAUGCUUUUGGCUUUGACAUACAUACAUGCCAAACUUGGUUUGUCAGGUAAUUUGGAUGACACAGAGCCAACAGAGAGGGCUUGAGUAACAGGUUAGGGAGCUUGCAUGGGUGUUUUAGUCAGUGUUUACUGGAGUCAGAAGUAGAAGAGUGCAAGAGAUCUGUCCGGACACCAGGAAUCCAGCCGAGGGUUCACAGCAAUAUCCUGUGCAAGUCCACGCCAGCAUGUCAAGGGCUCUAAGCCGAGAAGACCAAGGACUGGCACCAGGCUAGAGAGUCUGCACCGGCAGGCCAAGGCCAGUGCUGGAAGUCGAAGAAUCUGGACAGAGAACCAGGAGUGUAUGCUGAGGCAAAGGUGAAGAGCGGAGCUCCUAGCUGAAGCAUCUGCGCCAGGAGACAGCAUGCCUGGUGAAGAGUGUGAAUUACCGGAGGCCACUGUUGUGUAACUGCCCCCUUACCUACUCCUGAAGCUCUCCAGGGGCAGUGCAAGGAACAACUGUAUUUUAAGGAAUCCUCAGAUUUCCAUGGACAGAACUGUUGAAGUUACACUUCACUAAGAAGUGCCCUGAAGUAUCACUGAACAGCAGCCAUGAAUUGUUGCCACUCUGCCAUGUGCCACCCUCGGACCAAAACCUCUACAAACUAGGAAAUCACCUAUAGGAAUAGAAAACGGCAAGCAAGGAUCCCUAUAACCCAGCCCUGGAGCGCAGCCAAUCUUCCAGCGAUGAAAUGAUGAUUUCUGCAACCAGGCUUGACUGGGUUGGCCCUGCUCGGAUGAUGGAAGGGGGCAAGAUGUGCAGGCAGCUGCUGCCUGGUGAACCGGAACGGGCCAUGCACAAGAAUAUUUACGGAUGGACAGGGUCUGGUUCGGCAGCGCUCUCCAAGCCCCGAGGUUCCUGGUGUGGAGUAAGCAUCUAUAGUGAGUGUCCUAUAAAUCAUACAGCAGGUGUUCCUCACAGUCUACGAACCGGUGAGCUAACAAGCUAAUUGCACGCAGUGUCUCAUUUCUCUGGAAGUGAGAUGGCGUGCUUCUUCGCUCUCCCUCCUUUGAGUUACUCUCACGUCUUUAAUUGUAACUGAUUAAAAACUUUGUAACUAGUGAGGCCAGUAAAGAUCUUUACACAUUUUGUUAAUGAAAAAUAGGUUGAAGAAGUCCUGAGAUGUUAGACAUUUUCCAGGUCACUGGGCUUGAGCACUGGCUUCUCCUGAGGCAGGAACAUUCACUUGGGUGGGAGGUGGUGGCUGCUUAUUCUGGGACUGCCGGGCAGCCUCCGCUCCUUUCCAAAGCCCAGAGAUUAAUACGAGACACCAGGGUAGAGCCUCUGCCUGAAAAGCGUGUUAAUCCUCCAGUAAUUGGAACAAAAGAGCCAGCAAAUGUAAACCAGCCGAACGCAGAUUUCAGGUUUACAAGCACAGUAAAGGAGAGCUGUAAAUGCCAGAGAACUCACAGACUUUCAGGAAGAUCAGUCCAC